rnacentral:rRNA from 1 species
AUUGAACGCUGGCGGCAUGCUUUACACAUGCAAGUCGAACGGCAGCGCGGGCUUCGGCCUGGCGGCGAGUGGCGAACGGGUGAGUAAUACAUCGGAACGUGCCCAGUAGUGGGGGAUAGCUCGGCGAAAGCCGGAUUAAUACCGCAUACGACCUGAGGGUGAAAGCGGGGGAUCUUCGGACCUCGCGCUAUUGGACCGGCCGAUGGCAGAUUAGCUAGUUGGUGGGGUAAAGGCCUACCAAGGCGACGGUCUGUAGCUGGUCUGAGAGGACGACCAGCCACACUGGGACUGAGACACGGCCCAGACUCCUACGGGAGGCAGCAGUGGGGAAUUUUGGACAAUGGGCGAAAGCCUGAUCCAGCAAUGCCGCGUGUGUGAUGAAGGCCUUCGGGUUGUAAAGCACUUUUGGCGGGAACGAAAAGGACUGUGCCAAUACCACGGUUCGAUGACGGUACCCGCAGAAUAAGCACCGGUUAACUACGUG